UUCAUAUUAGGUGAUUGAUCAUUUGAUAGACAGGGCAUGUGCCAAGUGCGGUCACGAUGGACUUCAUUUCCACACCAGGCAAGCACGAUCAGCUGAUAAAGAACAAAUCGUCUUCUAUUUCUGCCAUCAUGCAAGCAUCAAGAGAUUGAGUACUCCUGAAGAGAAUCAACAUCUUCGGAUCGGUCUACACUGAGAGGAACUCAAGGCAAAAGCUCACUGAAACAAGGAAAUGAAAUCUCCACCUACGACGACGACCACCUGAUUCCAGAGAGAUGUCUUACUGAUGAGGAGGCCGAGCAUCCAUCCCUCUGUAGUAAUCACAGUAUGGGUACUUAAAUAAG